UACGCUGGCGGCGUGCUUAACACAUGCAAGUCGAGCGGUAAGGCCUUUCGGGGUACACGAGCGGCGAACGGGUGAGUWACACGUGGGUGAUCUGCCCUGCACUCUGGGAUAAGCUUGGGAAACUGGGUCUAAUACCGGAUAUGACCACAGCAUGCAUGUGUUGUGGUGGAAAGAUUUAUCGGUGCAGGAUGGGCCCGCGGCCUAUCAGCUUGUUGGUGGGGUAAUGGCCUACCAAGGCGACGACGGGUAGCCGACCUGAGAGGGUGACCGGCCACACUGGGACUGAGACACGGCCCAGACUCCUACGGGAGGCAGCAGUGGGGAAUAUUGCACAAUGGGCGGAAGCCUGAUGCAGCGACGCCGCGUGAGGGAUGAAGGCCUUCGGGUUGUAAACCUCUUUCAGCAGGGACGAAGCGUGAGUGACGGUACCUGCAGAAGAAGCACCGGCUAACUACGUGCCAGCAGCCGCGGUAAUACGUAGGGUGCGAGCGUUGUCCGGAAUUACUGGGCGUAAAGAGUUCGUAGGCGGUUUGUCGCGUCGUUUGUGAAAACCCGGGGCUCAACUUCGGGCUUGCAGGCGAUACGGGCAGACUUGAGUGUUUCAGGGGAGACUGGAAUUCCUGGUGUAGCGGUGAAAUGCGCAGAUAUCAGGAGGAACACCGGUGGCGAAGGCGGGUCUCUGGGAAACAACUGACGCUGAGGAAC
rnacentral:rRNA from 1 species